UACGUAGGGGGCGAGCGUUGUCCGGAAUUAUUGGGCGUAAAGGGUUCGCAGGCGGCCUUUUAAGUCAGAUGUGAAAGCCCACGGCUUAACCGUGGUAAGCAUUUGAAACUGGAAGGCUUGAGUUAAGGAGAGGAAAGUGGAAUUCCUAGUGUAGCGGUGAAAUGCGUAGAUAUUAGGAGGAAUACCAGUGGCGAAGGCGACUUUCUGGACUUAUACUGACGCUGAGGAACGAAAGCGUGGGGAGCAAACAGGAUUAGAUACCCUGGUAGUCCACGCCGUAAACGAUGAGUGCUAGGUGUUGGGGGUCAAACCUCGGUGCCGCAGCUAACGCAUUAAGCACUCCGCCUGGGGAGUACGUACGCAAGUAUGAA
rnacentral:rRNA from 1 species